GGCACUCCUGAGUCACAGGCUCAGAAGCUUUCGCCUCCGCCUUCAGACUGGCCCUCAGGCUUCCCUGCUCAGAGGCAGGGAAUUGUGCAGCUGGAGUUUCAUUUUCCAAGAGGCAGGGUCUCAGUCUGUCACCCAGGCUGGAGUACAGUGGCACCAUCUUGGCUCACUCUAGCCUCGACCUCCUGGGCUCAAGUGAGCCUCCUACCUCAGUCUCCCAAAAUGCUGGGAUUACAAGCAUGAACCACUGUGACUUGCCUUCUUGGCAAUUUUAAAUGAAAGAAGAAGAUGGAAUAAUGCCUACUGAGGACUAUGUUUGAGGGGUGUUGUAUGACCCCGUUUUCCAUACCCAGCCAACUUGUCAUGUGACAAGUCCACAGAAAGAUGUUAUAUGACAGGAAUCUAUGAACUAGUCUUCCCUGAAAUGUACCUGACUACAGCUAACAUCAUAUCACAUGAUGAAAGACCGCGUUGUUUUCCCCUGAGGUUGGCACAAACUCCAACAGGCCCCAAACGAGCUGAGAAAAUAUCCAACUUCAAAGGUUUUGCACAAAUCAUCUUAAAGGCCUGACCUAAGCCCGGAAAGCCGGAACGAAGCCCAGAAAUCAGUCCUCAUUUCAUCGCCGUUUAGCCAAGACACCUUUCCCGUCCACAGAUCACAUCUGCCCCCUUCUGCCCCCGCCCAGGUCCCAACCACCUUGAGACACCUGCGUGAUCCAUCCUCAAAGCAAUGAGUUAGGAGCCGCACUCCUGGUCCUUGGCCGGUGGCUUCAGUGUUAUUCCGGGGGGCUGGGUGGGGGCACCUGUGGGGACUGCCCCGUGAGGCUGUGGUUUAAUUUCCUUUGCUACUUUCCUUAGCUCUUCAGUCUCAGUCUCAGCCACUGAAAUGUGUCUUGGCCACUGGUGGUACAGCACAGGGUGACACUGUUGUCAGCGAGAGGAAGAUGCUUUUUUUUUUUUUGAGAUGGAGUUUUGCUCUGUUGCCCAG
rnacentral:lncRNA from 1 species